UACAGAGGUCUCAAGCGUUGUUCGGAUUCAUUGGGCGUAAAGGGUGCGUAGGCGGCGCGGUAAGUCGGGUGUGAAAUCUCGGAGCUUAACUCCGAAACUGCAUUCGAUACUGCCGUGCUUGAGGACUGGAGAGGAGAACGGAAUUCCCAGUGUAGCGGUGAAAUGCGCAGAUAUUGGGAAGAACACCAGUGGCGAAGGCGGUUCUCUGGGACGGUACUGACGCUGAGACGCGAAAGCGUGGGGAGCAAACAGG
rnacentral:rRNA from 1 species